rnacentral:lncRNA from 1 species
AUGGUAAAUUUGGAGAAUUUUAUUAGUUUACAUAACAUCUACAAAUUGCCUGUUUCUGCAUUUCUCUUUGUUCUUGUUCUUUCCUGUUUCCAGGUAUUAGUGAGAUAUGGAUACUGCUAUCUGAGAAGCUAUGGUAAGACUCAUACAUUUCUUGAUGUAACCAUCAUCAAAUGUGGACUAUUAGCUUGUUUCCAUGUGUGUGAGUCCAAUUGCUCUUAUGAGAAGUUGUAAGACAAUGCAUUUGAAGCAGCAAACACAAUAAGAUGUCUUACAAGUCCCAUUGCUAGCCCGUUGGGUCGGACAGAAGCCACAUCUUAGCCUGCAAACUCAACAAGAGAACCAAAUAUAUCCUCUUCCAAUACUCAUUCUUGAAUGCACAAUGAAGCCACAGAAAAAAUCCCUAAAUAUUUGUAGAGAGAAUUUAUAGGAGAUUCAACUUUAAUUCAAAUUUAGAAAAUAUUUCUGUUCAUUCUCUGAGUUAAGUUCUGAAAUUUAUUUGAUAAACUUGUCAGCUUUACUGAUUUUGUUUGCUUUCUGUUUUUUGUUUGGUUGUUUGUUUUGUUUUGUUUUGGAUACUACACAAAAACAGCAGUCAUGAUUACAAUAUCAUCUAUUUCCUAUGCUUCUAUUUUAGGGGCAUAGAGCAUAUAAGCAAGUCUAGGUAAUAUUUGGGGAAAAAAAUAAGUUAACACUUAAGAGUCAUUCCUCAACUUGGGGGGUCGUUGUAAUUCUUGUAAAUUCAGCUAUUAGGCUGUUUGGUUAAAAUGAUUUGUGAAUAUUUGGUUGAAUAUUCCAGAAACUUCCCCUAUUUGAAUAGAGAACAUAGUCUUCCAAACAGUUCUUUUUUUCUGCCCCAUUAUCUCUUUUUUUUAAUUAUAUUUCAAUGUGUACUUGUGCAAAUGAAAGUGUUUUGCCAAACUUUUGCUACAGACGUUGAUUUUUCUAGAACUGUCAAGAAUUAAUUAUUGAAAAAAAGUUUUAAAUGGCUUGCAGUAGAAACAUUUUUAAAUUCUGUCCAUCACAUAUUUUCCAGUAAUAUGCCAUGUAAUAUGUUUCAGCAUAUUGUGAUGUGUGGUUAAGAGAAAACACGUGAAUAUAAUGAUAAUAAUUUUAAAAGAUGUACUCUAGUAGCUCCACAUAAUGUUUAAUUCACAAUUUCAACCAUAAUUUGAGAACAUGUAGUAUUUUCUCUACUUUCACUGAUUUCGUAUGAGCUAAAGAAAAUCUUGUC